UAGGGAAUCUUGCGCAAUGGGCGAAAGCCUGACGCAGCCACGCCGCGUGAGUGAUGAAGGCCUUCGGGUCGUAAAGCUCUUUCAGCAGGGACGAAAAUGACGGUACCUGCAGAAGAAGCCCCGGCCAACUACGUGCCAGCAGCCGCGGUAACACGUAGGGGGCAAGCGUUGUCCGGAUUUAUUGGGCGUAAAGGGCUCGUAGGCUGUUCAGUAAGUCAGGUGUGAAAACUCGAGGCUCAACCUCGAGACGCCACUUGAUACUGCUGUGACUAGAGUUCGGUAGAGGAGUGUGGAAUUCCUAGUGUAGCGGUGAAAUGCGCAGAUAUUAGGAGGAACACCAACAGCGAAGGCAGCACUCUGGGCCGAUACUGACGCUGAGGAGCGAAAGCGUGGGGAGCGAACAGG
rnacentral:rRNA from 1 species